rnacentral:hammerhead_ribozyme from 1 species
CUACUAUUGAAGAGUUCCAAAACAGAACGAAACAGCUGUCCAAUAC